rnacentral:rRNA from 1 species
UACAGGGGGUGCAAACGUUGCUCGGAAUUAUUGGGCGUAAAGCGCACGUAGGCGGUCUGUUAUGUCGGAUGUGAAAGCCCUUGGCUCAACUGAGGAAGUGCAUCCGAAACUGGCAGGCUGGAGUACGUAAGAGGGUCGCGGAAUUCCCGGUGUAGAGGUGAAAUUCGUAGAUAUCUGGAGGAACACCGGUGGCGAAGGCGGCAUCCUGGACCGAGAUUGACGCUGAUGCGCGAAAGCCAGGGGAGCAAAGCGGG